CCUGAUGCUGUAUGCCAGCGGGAUGACGCCCCGGUUGAACACCUCCACGUACAUGGCGCCGCCGGUGACGAGCAGCUGCGGCAGCAGCACAGGGAAGCAGCAAGCGCUGGUGCAGUUCUGAUGGCAGAACGAGCAAACUAAAAUGGAGUUGGCGAAAUCACCUCCUCGUAGCGCUGGAUGAGCGCGAGGCGCUCCUCCUCGGACAUGUCGGGUCGGAGCACCACCAUGGUCUCGUACUGGCGCAGGCCCGGCGGGCAGGGCGGCAU